rnacentral:rRNA from 1 species
AUUGAACGCUGGCGGCAGGCCUAACACAUGCAAGUCGAACGAGUGGCGGACGGGUGAGUAAUGUCGGGGAAACUGCCUGAUGGUGGGGGAUAAAUACUAGAAACGGUAGCUAAUACCGCAUACCAUCAGAAGCGCACAGAUGGGAUUAGCUUGGUGGUGGGGUAACGGCUCACCAAGGCGACGACCCCUAGCUGGUCUGAGAGGAUGACCAGCCAGACUGGAACUGAGACACGGUCCAGACGCCUACGGGAGGCAGCAGUGGGGAAUAUUGCACAAUGGGCGCAAGCCUGAUGCAGCCAUGCCGCGUGUAUGAAGAAGGCCCUAGGGUUGUAAAGUACUUUCAGCGGGGAGGCGUUACCCGCAGAAGAAGCACCGGCUAACUCCGUGCCAGCAGCCGCGGUAAUAC